rnacentral:rRNA from 1 species
CGAACGCUGGCGGCGUGCCUAAUACAUGCAAGUCGAGCGGAAUGAUGAAGAAGCUUGCUUCUUCUGAUUUUAGCGGCGGACGGGUGAGUAACACGUGGGCAACCUACCUUGUAGAUUGGGAUAACUCCGGGAAACCGGGGCUAAUACCGAAUAAUCCAUUUUGCUUCAUGGCGAGAUGUUGAAAGACGGUUUCAGCUAUCACUAUAAGAUGGGCCCGCGGCGCAUUAGCUAGUUGGUAGGGUAAUGGCCUACCAAGGCGACGAUGCGUAGCCGACCUGAGAGGGUGAUCGGCCACACUGGGACUGAGACACGGCCCAGACUCCUACGGGAGGCAGCAGUAGGGAAUCUUCCACAAUGGACGAAAGUCUGAUGGAGCAACGCCGCGUGAGUGAAGAAGGUUUUCGGAUCGUAAAACUCUGUUGUAAGGGAAGAACACGUACGAGAGUAACUGCUCGUACCUUGACGGUACCUUAUUAGAAAGCCACGGCUAACUACGUG